CCAAUCAUUCUCCGGACAGAUCCACAGGGAUUUUUCUUCUACUGGACAGAUCAAAAUAAGAUGAAUUUCCAAUAUUUCUCAUGAAACAAGUGCUCCUUCCUGCCGAAGACUAUCGGGACUUGGUAGUGUUCUAACUUAARUGUUAUGUUGAAACAUAUACCAAAAUGACUGAAUACAUAAUUGUAGUGUCCUGGCUAUAGAGCUCAUUUUACCAGUUCUACAACUCAUUUUCAUAAGUUCCUACUGAUUUUUGUAUUCAGAAAACAAUGCAAAAAAUGCCUGAGGAGGCAGCACCCGUUGACCAUGGAGACUCUUUGGGCUGUCUGCUAUCACACUAGUUUUCAGUCACUAGUCAGUUUUGAUUUUGUGUAUUUGGAAAUCUUAUUGUGGAGUAACAGCAAAAAUUCUGGUUUAUUUUGGUUCUUCUUGUACAAGGUGGUGCUGCUUAAUAGAGUGUUCAAGAGGCUGUUGACAGCCUAGAGUUGUUAAGUGACUGCUCAAAGAAGCAAAGCUUCAAAUCCCAUUAGAAAUUGAAGCAUAUCACUGAUUUACACCAACCAAAGAGCUAAACCAGAACAUGAUGCACUGUUGUAUUUCUCCCUAUGCCUGAACUGAUUGAAUAAGCUGAAAAAUAGUGGAGAACUAUUGAAUAAUAAAUGGAAAAACAGA